rnacentral:lncRNA from 1 species
AGAAUUCUCUUACCCAGUGAUGGCAUUGAGUUGCCACGAAUGCACUAUUGUAUGAUGCAGUGACAGAUGCACAAAAGCAACAAUGUGGUGUAUAAGGAACAUAUAGACCAGCUCUGGCCUCCAUUGGUUUUGUUUAGAAAUCAGUCCAACACCAGUCAUGACCAUGUGGCGAGAGUCGACUUCCAGCUAAGCCAUUUUUGGCCUAUUCAUGGUCUUUAUCCCAUCCGUUGACAUUGCUACAGUGUUGCUGCCUGAAUCUUGUGGUG